UGUCUGGGUAUCGUGAGAUGUGUCCGGC
rnacentral:sRNA from 1 species